rnacentral:rRNA from 7 species
CAAACGACUCUCGGCAACGGAUAUCUCGGCUCUCGCAUCGAUGAAGAACGUAGCGAAAUGCGAUACCUGGUGUGAAUUGCAGAAUCCCGCGAACCAUCGAGUCUUUGAACGCAAGUUGCGCCCGAGGCCUUCGGGCCGAGGGCACGCCUGCCUGGGCGUCACGC